GGCAGCCGCGGUAAUUCCAGCUCCAAUAGCGUAUAUUAAAGUUGUUGCAGUUAAAAAGCUCGUAGUUGAAUUUCGGGGUCAGUAGAUUGGUCGUGCCACUGGUAUGUACUGGUCUUACUGGCUCCUCCUUCCUGAUGAACCGUAAUGCCAUUAAUUUGGUGUUGCGGGGAGACUGGACUGUUACUUUGAAAAAUUAGAGUGUUUAAAGCAGGCUAACGCUUGAAUACAUUAGCAUGGAAUAAUGAAAUAGGACGUUCGAUCUUAUUUUGUUAGUUUCUAAGAUUGACGUAAUGAUUAAUAGGGAUAGUUGGGGGCAUUAGUAUUCAAUUGUCAGAGGUGAAAUUCUUGGAUUUAUUGAAGACUAACUACUGCGAAAGCAUUUGCCAAGGAUGUUUUCAUUAAUCAAGAACGAAAGUUAGGGGGAUCGAGGACGAUCAGAUACCGUCGUAGUCUUAACCAUAAACUAUGCCGACUAGGGAUCGGAUGAUGUUAAUUUUUAAUGACUCAUUCGGCGCCUUAA
rnacentral:rRNA from 1 species